AUUAUUUUGAAUUAAACUGAUAUUACCAGGUUAGUAGUAGUUAUGAGCUUGAAAAUUAAAGAAGAUGGCGGUAUUUUAGUCUAUUCAGAGGAACCUGUCCUGUAAUCGAUGAUCCACGAUUUAUUAUACUUAUUUUAUAAGUUUGCAUAUCGCCGUAGAUGGAAUGUCCUUUAAGGGUUUAUAAACAUUCAAGAGAUUUUUAUUUGUGAAAGUAAAUCAGGUCAAGAUGUAGCUAAUAAAUAAGAAGAGAUGGGUUA
rnacentral:rRNA from 1 species